rnacentral:rRNA from 2 species
UGGGGAAUAUUGGACAAUGGGCGCAAGCCUGAUCCAGCCAUGCCGCGUGAGUGAUGAAGGCCCUAGGGUUGUAAAGCUCUUUCACCGGUGAAGAUAAUGACGGUAACCGGAGGAGAAGCCCCGGCUAACUUCGUGCCAGCAGCCGCGGUAAUACGAAGGGGGCUAGCGUUGUUCGGAUUUACUGGGCGUAAAGCGCACGUAGGCGGACUUUUAAGUCAGGGGUGAAAUCCCGGGGCUCAACCCCGGAACUGCCUUUGAUACUGGAAGUCUUGAGUAUGGUAGAGGUGAGUGGAAUUCCGAGUGUAGAGGUGAAAUUCGUAGAUAUUCGGAGGAACACCAGUGGCGAAGGCGGCUCACUGGACCAUUACUGACGCUGAGGUGCGAAAGCGUGGGGAGCAAACAGG